AACGAACGCUGGCGGCGCGUUUUAAGCAUGCAAGUCGAACGGUAGGCGGGGGCAACUCCGCUGAGAGUGGCGCACGGGUGAGUAACACGUAGGUGAUCUACCCUGGGAUUGGGGAUAGCCCAUGGAAACAUGGGGUAAUACCGAAUGAGCUCUUUUGGUCAUGGCCGAAAGAGGAAAGGCGCGGGUGCGCCGACCUGGGAUGAGCCUGCGGCCUAUUAGCUAGUUGGCGGGGUAAAGGCCCACCAAGGCGACGACGGGUAGCCGGCCUGAGAGGGUGAACGGCCACACUGGGACUGAGAUACGGCCCAGACUCCUACGGGAGGCAGCAGCUAAGAAUCUUCCGCAAUGGGGGAAACCCUGACGGAGCGACGCCGCGUGGAUGAUGAAGGCCGAAAGGUUGUAAAAUCCUUUUCUCUGUGAAGAAUAAGUGAGGCAGGAAAUAGCCGCAUGAUGACGUUAGCAGAGGAAUAAGCCCCGGCUAACUACGUGCCAGCCGCCGCUGUAA
rnacentral:rRNA from 1 species